CAUUUCGGUCGAAGUGGGCUGCCAAAAGAAAGCCGUGACAUCUUUAAGCUUUGAAUUAUUUCCUUCUUGAGAAAUAUUAGUAAAAUGUUGGAAUUUUCGCCACAAAACUAGACAAAACCUUCUAGUAUAAACAUGUAAAACAUGCAAUUUCAAAAUUCGAAAUUUGAUUUGAAAUAUUUGAAUCUUUGCUUCCUAAAUUGUCCAAUCACGUGCAUGCG